UUUUUUUUUUUGUCUUUUUGCCAUUUCUAGGGCCUCUUCUGCGGCAUAUGGAGAUUCCCAGGCUAGGGGUCGAAUUGGAGCUGUAGCUGCUGGCCUACACCAGAGCCACAGCAACGCAGGAUCCAAGCUGCGUCUGCAACCUACACCACAGCUCACGGCAACGCCGGAUCCUUAACCCACUGAGCAAGGCCAAAAUUUUUUUUUAAAUAAUGAAAACUCUUUAAUAGUGAAAAACAAGGCAUGUAACUGAUGUAGUAACAUUUUCAAAGACAAUUUCCAUGAAAGACAAGUUUUUCCAGAUAACAAUAAGGCAUGAAUAUGGAUGUGUAUAAAUAAAUAUUAAGAUAUGUGUGUGUGUGUGUGUGUGUGUGUGUGUGUGUUUGUGUGUGUCUAUUUAAGGAAAAGGGAUUUGCGGUUAUAAAAAAUGUCUGGUAAUUUAUAGUCACUGAAGCCAAAAUCUCAUUUAUAUUGUUUAUGAAGGAGGCAAAAAAAAAAAAAAGAAACCCAAUUUUAUACUUGCAGAAUCUGAGAUUCAUUAGCCAAAGUUCAUGCAGAAAUGUGAUGGUGAUAAAAGAACGGUCAGGAAGGAGACACAAAAACAAAAGACUCUAUUCAGGACAAGUUAUGUCCUGAUUUGCAAAUUGAAAAAAAUCUAGGCGGUAUUAGCACCCUUAGCAAGACAAAACAUAGGAAAAUAUAAAUUGCAUCAAUCAUGUCGUGAUCAAAUUUCGGGAGACUCUCAGUUUGAUUCUGAUAUGAAAUUGAUAGGAGUAAUCCAAUGACUAGCCCAACAACAAGAUCCAUCCCACAGCUGCCAUUCAAUUCAAAUAGAACCAUAAGCCUGUCGUGUGAAGGAGGUUUAAUGAAGUCUACAUACUUUCCUGAGCGAACUGCUCUUGGUUACACUUAAUCAGAACUGCAUAAACAAACUCGGUAUUAGUCACACUUGUGCAAGUUAUUCCAGUUCCCUGCAGCCAGAAGGGAUUUUCAUGUGAUCUUCUUUAAACCAGCGAAACAUCUGGAAAAUGUGGAAACUAUUCUGUAAGGCACAAGAGGACCACACGCUCGGAGGAGACAUCAGUUACGUGGCUGGGGUCAGCCCCCGGGGUUGCUGGAAGGAGAGAGCUGCCUCGAGAGAGCUUACUUACAAUGAAGCCAAGUUUUUUAUAAUCCCGGGUGUACAUGGACUUGCGUUUCUCCAUGCUGCCGCUGCUGUUAUUUGGUUCAGACUCUGCAUCAAAAGCAAUUCUUCGAAGUUCAAAUAUGAUGUCCCUCUGAGCCUGAAGGGGUCAGGAAGAGAAAAAGGGAGGUGAGAACUGCCUUCACAGUGUGACGUUACACCUACUCUCUUGUCCCCCCAGGUCUGAAUGAAUCACUGUGUUCAGGCAAAAGAGAAACAGAUAAAAGGCAACCAGUGCUCUAAGUUUCGGCUCUGCACACUUCUUCUCCUGGCACUCUCCCCGCUGGUGAGCCCUGGCUUUAUUCCACAGUUAUCCUCACAGCCAAGUCAUUUGCAGGGCUGAUAUCAAUUGCCUCGUGAAGUUCUUAAUGAAAGCCCCAAUGACGAUGGAAGGCUUGUGAUGCCAAAAGCAAGUUGGAGGACCUGGGAGUCCCACACUGUCAGAAGCAACGUGAGAAGCGCAGAAGGUUUAUGAACGAUAAGCAGGGGACUAGGGAUCCCUAACACCCGUGAGAAGUGACUUCAUAGACAGAAACCUUAAAAAUGGCAACGAUGGUAAAUUUUGUGCUACACAAGGUUUACUACGAUAAUAAACAAUAUACCUUUUAAGUAAAAGGUAGGUUUGCAAACAGGGAGGGUUGUUCCCUACUAAGACCCAUUGCCUGUUGGACUAGAAGUGGGGGUAAGACCGUCUUAUCUUUCUGGGAUGAUUACACUCGGCGUUGCCAAAAGUGUGGGGCCUGUGAGAUGGCCUCUCGAAGCCACUCCAUCAUGCUUAAUCGCGUGGCCUCACGCCACAAAUGAAGGGCUGCGGCAGUUACACACUUCGCAUGUGCCGUCCACAUCUGCGAUAGAUCAGACCCUCACGUGCCAAUAACGAGCCUUUUCCUUUCCAAAGCUGCAGCGCUGUUUAAGUUGCAAAUGUGUUACAGCAGGACUCCCAGCUGUUUCCUCUCACUCUGUCCUCACACGGUAAAGGUCCCCCCCCCCCAAGCCUUUUGGAUGGAGACAGUCUUUCAUGCCCAAGAACCAGAGACCUAGAGAGAAUUGGAGCAAAGAGCCAACUGACAAAAACAUAAGCCCAGAAAUCAGACGUCACCGGGGACCUCCGCUCGUGGCCCUGACCCCAGGAGAAUGGAAAUUAUGCUCUCAAAGCAGAAUUGCUCUCACACACAGCUACCAAGUGGCCUUGUCUUCUGGGAACUUGACACCCAAGCUAUCGCCAUGGAAGAUACUGGGGCCAAGGGCCAACGUCUGUAGCCAUAUGAUGUCAAGCUUUCUUGCGCAAUAAAGAAAAAAAUAGGUGUGUGUUUGAUGCAUAAGGAAGUCAUUCCUUUACCUUAUUCUCUGAUCCUGGAGUCACCUAAAUUUUAAACCCAUUCCCUAAGUUCUGAGAUGAUCACGAAACAAUAUGAUCAUCAUCUAAACACUCUGGGUUUCGAAGUAGCCCAGGCAAAGACUUUUAAGGACACUCUUUCCCUCGGUGCUUUUACUGUUGUCUCGAUGAGCACUCACCUGGUCCUGCGGGUCCAUCUUGGUCAUCAUCCUGUCUUCCAAAAGGUUAAAGGUCAGCACCUGCAGCACGUACAGCUGGUGUGCCAUUUCAUUGUUGAUGGCCCGCUGAGCUCGAAUGACAUGCUGCGGGAGAUGGUUCACAAAUGAAUAUUUAAAAAAAAAAAAAAAGAAGAAAGAAAACGCCAACAAUCUAAGUGAACACCAUCAUGAGGCCAAGUAGCACCUCAGAAGUCCUCGUGUUGGGGGGGGGGAUGUAAGUGGGUGGAAAUAUCUUUGAGGAGAGACAUGGGCACACAGGUGACCCUAGAGUUUUGCUUUACAAUCCAGGGCCCCAUAAGGUUCCUGAUCUUUAGGCCGGAACCAGGAAAGAGACCUACCCUGUGCAGGGGAGAGAAGCAUUCCUUGUCUGCAGUAGAGAAAUAAAUGGUGCAUACGUAUUGUAAGCAAUUUUGCCAUCAUCUUACCCAACACCUGUCUCUGACAGUUGAUCUUACUUCUAAACAGAGAAAAGUUUUUGAAGCACCCACACAAAAACAAAGUACCCAUCAUCAGAUUUGUAGUGAAUUCACUGUGGAAACUAAACAGGGACCACUGCCACCACAAUGCAGGGAGUGACUUUAUGUGUAUUACUUUACUCUCCUGUUGACAAUGAAAUUUUUACAAGAUGACUUUUCCCCUUAGAAACAGAGCCAAAAUGAAACACACUUAAAAGGAGUGGCAGGAAACCAGACACGUGGGCCUUUGUCCCUACCAGGGCUGAGAUUGAAACAGGAUUCAACACGGGGGCCUAAUAUACAUCUGCCUGGGCAGAGACCAUGGUUGUACAUUACAAAUGCCAGACAAGAGUCAGGGUGGUGAAAAACUCAUUCAAAUGAGUGCUUUUGAAUGGGCUAGAUCCAACCACAGCUUGCUGCCUGAAAGGACUUUGUCUAGGA
rnacentral:lncRNA from 9 species